rnacentral:lncRNA from 1 species
GAAAGAAACUGGGUCAGUUUUUUGUUUUGCUUUGUUUUUAAGUUACCUAGCUAAAUUAUAGAAAGGAUUAUCGUUUAUUUAGUUGUAGCUUCAAAAAGACAAUUCAUUCUGGCCUAGUAUUUUAAAAUAUGGAGAAGGGAUGAAUGGAUGAAAAGUUUAUAAAGGAGUUAGUUUGAGAAUGUACAAGAAAGUGGAUCAGAAGAAAGAUGCUCCAGUCCCCUCUUCAGGACGGAGAACUGUUCUGCGCAGAGCUUUCCCAAUUGCAAUGGAUUUAUCCUCAUCUCUUAAGGAGAAAAUGAAUUAACAAAGAAAAGAAUACUACAGAGAAUCCCAGAGACUUCAAGAACACUCUCUACACUUUCAGCA